GCGAGAGUAGUACAGUGGCAGUACGUUAGCUUCCCAAGCUAAGAACGCGGGUCCGAUUCCCGUCUCUCGCU
rfam:Parcubacteria bacterium GW2011_GWC1_43_12 TV67_C0008, whole genome shotgun sequence.